AGUGAACGCUGGCGGUAGGCCUAACACAUGCAAGUCGAACGGCAGCACAGGAGAGCUUGCUCUCUGGGUGGCGAGUGGCGGACGGGUGAGGAAUACAUCGGAAUCUACCUUGUCGUGGGGGAUAACGUAGGGAACCUUACGCUAAUACCGCAUACGACCUUCGGGUGAAAGUGGUGGACCGCAAGGCCUCACGCGAUUAGAUGAGCCGAUGUCGGAUUAGCUAGUUGGCGGGGUAAAAGCCCACCAAGGCGACGAUCCGUAGCUGGUCUGAGAGGAUGAUCAGCCACACUGGAACUGAGACACGGUCCAGACUCCUACGGGAGGCAGCAGUGGGGAAUAUUGGACAAUGGGCGCAAGCCUGAUCCAGCCAUACCGCGUGGGUGAAGAAGGCCUUCGGGUUGUAAAGCCCUUUUGUUGGGAAAGAAAUCUUGCCGGUUAAUACCUGGCGAGGAUGACGGUACCCAAAGAAUAAGCACCGGCUAACUUCGUGCCAGCCGCCGCAGUAAAAC
rnacentral:rRNA from 1 species